rnacentral:lncRNA from 1 species
GUCAUCCAAGUGGCAUCAUAGUCAUACAUAAUGUCUAUAAAGGGUCACUGGAUCGACUUUGGCUAAUAACUUUCAAAUUCUAAAUCUAAUAUAAUUACACAUAUUUUAUUGUUUUUUAUGAAGUACAUUUAUUUUUACAAUAUACCAACAAAUUUAAUAAUGACAUUACAAAUGAGAUAUUUACAAAUGAUCUGUCACAUAAAUAAUUAUGAAUUAAAUAAAAGCAAUUUAUAACAAAUAAAACAAGACAUUUAAAAUAACAAUUAUAUAGUGCAUAUUGUUAUCAGUAAAAAAAUUACCAACAAUAAACAAUUAAAUGUGAACAAAAUUAAAAGUUAGAUUUAGUAAUUUAUAGCAUUAUGGACAUAAAAAAUAUAUAAUGUUUAAACAAUAGUACUUUAAAAAAUAAACCCUGUAUAUGUACUAAGGAUCUAAUUGCCAAAAAUAAAGACUUAUUUCACCCUCUCUAAGAUGAAGACAAACAAAAGCAAUAGUACUUCCAGCAAGCAAACAUUUAUUAAAUAAACAAUAGAUGAAAAAACUCAGCAAAAUUGUAAAAGGACAUGUAUUUUUUUCUUCCUGAAACAAAUGGAUAUUCCAAGAAACACAUCUGACAUGAUAUAGAUGAAACUAUAUAUAAUAAUGUUCCACAUGUGUAUUUAAUUUGUUUAUCAUUUAUUUAUAUGAAAACAAUCUUGCCAUUACUGUUAUGUGCACAUUGAGCUUUUUAAUCUGUCAUGGGUUCAUUUUUUAUGCUCACAAAAAUGAAUACUGGUAAGUAUAACAGAUAUAAACAGAUGAAAAUUACACAAGGAAUUAUCCGACCAUAUCACUUAAUGUAAGUACUCUAUUAUAUAACAAUUAUAAAAUAAUCCAUACAUAGAACAACCUUCUCUCUAUCAAGGGUUUUAAUACUAGCAUUUGAUGAUGUUCCAUUUAACAAACAUGGGACCUGAGAAGGCACUUUGUACUCUCAACUAUGGGUAUUACUUUGUGGUACUGUGAAUUUCAACUAGAAUAUUUUAUCAUAGGUCGGUGAAAUUUUGUCAAAUCUACAUUUAGCAUAUAUUUUAUACAGUUUACUUCAUAAAUAUAUGAAUAAAGUUUUCAGUUGACAUGUCCUCAAACUACAAUAAUCAAAUCUUGCAAGUAAUUAAGAACAGAGCAGCACACAGACCUGCAAAUAUAAUGCCCUACUACUAUCAAAGGCAAGGCACACAUUUGUGUCUGUAGGUGGUAAUUUGUAAGUGUCUUCCCCAAGUGCUGUAGAUGUUUGAAUGGAACAGCCCUUAAGACUUGCUAUUGGCAGUAUAUACUAUAAUUGAUGUCCAAUAAAUAUUGAGUAGUAGGUUGAAAUAUAGCUAACAUGCCCGAGGAAUAGGGUUUCAACAUUCAUUGUUAAUCCCAAAAACUGAAUAUACCAACCUAACUGAGACCCCAUCAUGUUAUUCAAAUAAAGUUUUAUAAUCUUUCAAUAUAUUAUUUAGAGACAUUGUUGGUAUAAUAAAGUGCAUGAGUAUUAUUUUCUUUGAACACAGUUCAUGUGUGGAGAUAAUAUACACUCAAUAAAAGCUUGAGGUUCAUUAUCAUGAUUAUUGUCCGUCAUUAUUCAAUACUAUCAUGAAAUUGUGUUUGUGCUUAAACAUCAAAUAGAUAAAAGUUCUAUAAGCAGUAUACAUCAAUAUGCAUCUAUAUAAGCUUACAUUGAUCCUUCUGUUUCUAUAAGAUUAUAACAGCCUUACAUCAUAUUUACUCCCAAUUAAGAAAGUUGUGACAAAACAUACUACUGGAUAAAAGCAAAAUGCACAUAUUACAUCCAAAGUAAUGAUCAUAAAAGCUAGUCAAUUGAAUAUGAACUUGAUAUUGCACAAGAGGCAUAUAAAUCCAUUCACUUUGACCUUUAGAAUCUGAAUUCCCAUUCACCUUGACCUAUAAAAACUGAAUUAUCAUUUAUUUAGGUCUAUAAAAUCUGAAUUUUCAUUCACCUAGAACUAUAAAGAAUCUGAAUUCAAUAAAUGUUAUACACCUUAUUUUGAAUAUUUACAUUAUAUUAAUGAUAAAAUAUAAAAUAAAAAACUGUGUCCUUACAGGAUAUAAUUUGUUAUCAAAACAAAAUGCAGACACAUUUACAUUCUGAAAGCAUGGACUGUAUGAUUGCUGAAUGACUUUUAGUGCUACCCUCACCUUUUAUAUAAAAAAAAAAAUAUGGAAAUACAUAUUUAUCUUAUUUGCAUAAUGGUCUCUUUCAUUAUAAAUAAUUAUUAAUGAGUCCUUCAAUAUGUACUGCAAAAUCUUUUGCAAUAGUUGAUGUAUACGGCUUUCAUAUUAUGAAUUUGCACUGUAAACAAAUAUUGCAAAAUAUAUUUACUAUAACUCAUUAAGUAUCAAUUUAUAGAUUUUAUGAUAAUAACAAAAGAAAAUAUUCUGUUUAUAAAUACAAUAAUAAUAGUUGCUGAAUAAAAACAAAAUUCAAAUAAACAAGAAUGUGUCCACAGUACACGGAUGCCCCACUCGCACUAUCAUUUUCUAUGUUUAAAGGACUGUGAAAUUGGAAUAAAUUCUCUAAUUUGGC